rnacentral:rRNA from 1 species
GUACGAGUAGUAGUUUGACUCCGUGACUACAAGAACACGCUGAUGGCGUGCCUCAUACAUGCAAGUCGAGCGCCCCGCAAGGGGAGCGGCGAACGGGUGAGUAACGCGUGAACAAUCUGCCCUGAAGUGGGGAUAACCAUUCCAACGGAUGGCUAAUACCGCAUAGGGUUCGGGACCGGCAUCGGUUCCUUACGAAAGCAGCAAUGCGCUUCAGGAUGAGUUCGCGUCCCAUUAGCUAGUUGGCGGGGUAACGGCCCACCAAGGCGACGAUGGGUAGCCGGCCUGAGAGGGUGUCCGGCCACAUUGGGACUGAGAUACGGCCCAGACUCCUACGGGAGGCAGCAGUAGGGAAUUUUGCGCAAUGGGCGAAAGCCUGACGCAGCAACGCCAUGUGUGGGAUGAAGCAUUUCGGUGUGUAAACCACUGUCGGCAGGGAAUAAAGUCCGCGCUUGCGCGGAGGUGAAUGUACCUGCAGAGGAAGCCCCGGCUAACUUCGUG